rnacentral:lncRNA from 1 species
UUUCUACAGCAAUGUUAUCUUGAAUGGUUUGUCAACAUGUUUCACUGAGAAAACUUAAAGCAACUCUGGUCCUAGAAAAGUCGUCUGCACAGAGCAGGGCAUGGCCUGCAUUCCAAAUUUUGUUAUUCUCAAAGGUCAGUUGUUCUCAGUGGCAGACAACAGAAGCCAAGACUUGCUAAGUAAAACAGAAGACAAAUUUGCUGGAAGGACAUGUGAAAAUGGGCACAAAUUAGGAAGCAAGGUCAUACUUGCAUCACUGCUGUUA